rnacentral:rRNA from 1 species
AUGGUCUUCGGUGUUUCGCAGGCAUCAGAUGUAGCUGAGUGCACGAAUGACAGUUUGCCCUUUGAAAUAACGUAUGCUGUACAGAAGCUUGGAAUGCAUUCAGAGAUUUUGGUUGCAGUCUUGCUUCCUUUGAGCUUCCUGCAAGUAGUUAACAAUGAUAACCACAUGAUUAGGAUAGAUAGGCAUUUCUCAUCCUAUGCUGUACUAGGCUUUUUCUUUCAUAAUAAAGAAUUGUUCAUCUUAAAUUCUCUGCAAAUUUCCAUAUUGAACUUGCAAUCAAGUACUCCCUCCGUCCGGAAAUACUUGUCAUCGAAAUGA